GGAGAUAUCGCCAAGUGGCUAAGGCAUAGGCUUUUCACGCCUACAUUCGUCGGGUUCAAUUCCCACCAUCCCUU
rnacentral:tRNA from 1 species